AAAAAAAGAAAAAUUAUCAUUUGAGACUCAUUCACGCAUUGUGUAACACACUCUCUCUUACUAUUCAGAGUUCGAAGAUUCGAUCUUGGGUAUGGAUAAACACUUUGUUAGAAGCUCUCCUCAAAUAGAGCUCGAUGCGUGAUGAAUUCGAAUAUAAUUGAACUCUGAGGGGCUGAAUGGUAGAAGUGUAAAUUUUGGGACAAGUUUGAGGUGUGGGUUUGGCCUAUAAAUAAUUAUGGAUCCGAUCGGCUCAAACUUGGGAGGGAGUCUUCAUUUAAUUAGGUUUAGGUUCAAUACUUAGAAUUACAAUCAGAGCUCAAAGCUCGGCUACUACUCAAGACCCAAAGGCCAAAGGAGAAAGCAAACUGUUGCUGCUCUCUAUCAAGAAGAGGCCAAAUGGUAGUCCAUAUAAUGUGGCUCAUUAUCUAACCUCAAAGUGCCUUGUGAUUUUGCCGCAGCAGAGAAGACAACAAUGCGAUCAGACCAAAAUAACAUUGUAUAAGGGGUCGUUUGCUGUAUUGAAAAACACGCAUGCAUCAGUUUAAUGUAUAUCACUAGUAUCUUAUUUGGUAUACUUUUGCACCUAUGUAUAAUUAAUACUCUAUUAUGUAUUAAGGUGUUUAUUAUUAAUACCUAAAAAUUCAUGGUAUUAAUAAUGCAAUGGAUCCAAUACAUGCAUUGACAUGAUUAAAGACAUUAUUAUUUCUAAAAAAAAA